GUGCUAAGCGGGGAGCUAGUGGUGCCCUGAACCUACAAUCCACUACAGUAGGGCCGAACACUUAACGCGGUUUAUAAAAAUUUAAUAAGUUUUGCGUUUAUAAUGUUGAAAUUAAGGUCUUAUGCAACUAUUACCCAUGAACCAUGUCAGAUCUUGACAGAAGCAGCAUUAAGUGGAUCUAAUAGUGUGCCAUGAGGGAGCUUUAAUGGAGUUAUA
rnacentral:SRP_RNA from 1 species